rnacentral:rRNA from 1 species
AUCAGCAUGCCGCGGUGAAUACGUUCCCGGGCCUUGUACACACCGCCCGUCACACCAUGGGAGCCGGUAAUACCCGAAGUCAGUAGUCCAACCUCGUGAGGACGCUGCCGAAGGUAGGAUUGGCGACUGGGUGAAGUCGUAACAAGGUACC